AUCUAAAUAGUUUAUUUAAAAUUUUGAUUUGUGGUAUCAAAGAUAUAAAAUUUUUAUUUUAGAUU
rnacentral:tRNA from 1 species